rnacentral:rRNA from 1 species
CCUGCCAGUAGUCAUAUGCUUGUCUCAAAAAUUAAGCCAUGCAAGUCUAAGUUCAAGUGCAAUAUUGCGAAACUGCAGAAGGCUCAUUAUAUCAGUUAUAGUGUACACGAUGGAUAAAAUUUGAGGAUAACUGUAGUAAAUCUAGAGCUAAUACUUUUCUAAAAGCUAAGCUUUGCUUAGUAGGACUUAUUAGUAUCAAGUCAACAGUUUACUCUUGGUGAUUCAUAAUAAUUAACCUAAUCACAUUUUUUUGUGAUGCAUCGUUACAAUAUCUGCCCUAUCAGCUUUGGAUGGUAGUGUAGUGGACUACCAUGGCUGUAACGGGUAACGGGGAAUUGGGGUUCGAUUCCGGAGAGGGAGCCUGAGAAACGGCUACCACUUCUAUGGAAGGCAGCAGGCGUGCAAAUUACCCAAUCCUAAUACAGGGAGGUAGUGACAAGAAAUAACAAUAUCAUUAUAAAUGGUAAUUGGAAUGAGUUGAAUGUAAAAGCUUCAACAAGGAACAAUUGGAGGGCAAGUCUGGUGCCAGCAGCCGCGGUAAUACCAGCUCCAAUAGCGUAUAUUAACAUUGCUGCAGUUAAAAAGCUCGUAGUCUAAAAUCUGGUGUUGUAUUUGUUUAAACGUGAAAUAUCGUUUAAUACUAUUUACAUACCAUCAAUCUGUUAGAGUGUGUCUACUUUUGAUUAAGUAUGUCGACUUUGUUCAGAUCGUUUACUGUGAGUAAAUGAGAGUGUUUAAAGCAGGCUUUAUAUUAAUGCUUGUAUCUUUUAGCAUGGAAUAAUAAAAUAUAACUUUAGUUUUAUUUUGUUGACUAUUAAACUGAAGUGAUGAUUGAUAGGGAUAGUUGGGGGUGCUCGUAUUCAGGGGUUAGCGGUGAAAUGCAAUGAUUCUCUGAAGACGAACUAAUGCGAAAGCAUUCACCAAGGAUAUUUUCUUUGAUCAAGAACGAAAGUUGGGGGAUCGAAGACGAUCAGAUACCGUCGUAGUCUCAACUGUAAACGAUGCCGACUAGCGAUUGGUGAUCGUUGAAAUUUUAUAAUGACUUCAUCAGAAGCUUAAGAGAAAUCAAAGUCUUUGGGCUCUGGGGGGAGUAUGGUCGCAAGGCUGAAACUUAAA